GCUUCGGCGCACCCAGAAACCCUUUGUGAACUUAUACCUAUUUGUUGCCUCGGCGCAGGCCGGCCUCUUCACUGAGGCCCCCUGGAAACAGGGAGCAGCCCGCCGGCGGCCAACUAAACUCUUGUUUCUUUAGUGAAUCUCUGAGUAAAAAACAUAAAUGAAUCAAAACUUUCAACAACGGAUCUCUUGGUUCUGGCAUCGAUGAAGAACGCAGCGAAAUGCGAUAAGUAAUGUGAAUUGCAGAAUUCAGUGAAUCAUCGAAUCUUUGAACGCACAUUGCGCCCUCUGGUAUUCCGGAGGGCAUGCCUGUUCGAGCGUCAUUUCAACCCUCAAGCCUGGCUUGGUGAUGGGGCACUGCCUUCUAACGAGGGCAGGCCCUGAAAUCUAGUGGCGAGCUCGCUAGGACCCCGAGCGUAGUAGUUAUAUCUCGUUCUGGAAGGCCCUGGCGGUGCCCUGCCGUUAAACCCCCAACUUCUGAAAAUUUGACCUCGGAUCAGGUAG
rnacentral:rRNA from 1 species